GACGAACGCUGGCGGCGUGCUUAACACAUGCAAGUCGAACGGAAAGGCCCUGCUUUUGUGGGGUGCUCGCGUGGCGAACGGGUGAGUAACCCGUGAGUAACCUGCCCUUGACUUUGGGAUAACUUCAGGCAACUGGUGCUAAUACCGAAUACGUGCUCCUGCUGGAUGGUGGGGGUUGGACCGUUUCGGCGGUUGUGGGUGGAUUGGCGGCUUAUGAGCUUGUUGGGUGAGGAGUUGCUUACCCACGCUUUGACGGGUAGCCGGCCUGAGAGGUGGACCGGCGACAUUGGGACUGAGGUACGGCGCAGACGCGUACGGGAGGCAGCAGGGGGGAACAUUGCACAAUGGGCGCAAGCCUGAUGAAGCAACGCUCGGUGCGGGAAGCCGGCCUUCGUGUGGGAAACCGCUUUCGCCUGUUACGAAGCGGGUGUGACGGUAAUGGGUAAAGAAGCACCGGCUAACUACGUG
rnacentral:rRNA from 1 species